rnacentral:rRNA from 1 species
UACGUAGGGCGCAAGCGUUGUCCGGAAUUAUUGGGCGUAAAGAGCUCGUAGGCGGCUUGUCACGUCGGAUGUGAAAGCCCGGGGCUUAACCCCGGGUCUGCAUUCGAUACGGGCUAGCUAGAGUUCGGUAGGGGAGACUGGAAUUCCUGGUGUAGCGGUGAAAUGCGCAGAUAUCAGGAGGAACACCGGUGGCGAAGGCGGGUCUCUGGGCCGACACUGACGCUGAGGAGCGAAAGCCAGGGGAGCAAACGGG